GACGAACGCUGGCGGCGUGCCUAAUACAUGCAAGUCGAGCGGACUUACAAAAGCUUGCUUUUGUAAGUUAGCGGCGGACGGGUGAGUAACACGUGGGCAACCUGCCCUUGAGACUGGGAUAACUUCGGGAAACCGGAGCUAAUACCGGAUAAUAUAAGGAACCUCCUGGUUCUUUAUUGAAAGAUGGUUUCGGCUAUCACUUAAGGAUGGGCCCGCGGCGCAUUAGCUAGUUGGUGAGGUAACGGCUCACCAAGGCGACGAUGCGUAGCCGACCUGAGAGGGUGAUCGGCCACACUGGGACUGAGACACGGCCCAGACUCCUACGGGAGGCAGCAGUAGGGAAUCUUCCACAAUGGACGAAAGUCUGAUGGAGCAACGCCGCGUGAGUGAUGAAGGCCUUCGGGUCGUAAAGCUCUGUUGUUAGGGAAGAACAAGUGCGAGAGUAACUGCUCGCACCUUGACGGUACCUAACCAGAAAGCCACGGCUAACUACGUGCCAGCAGCCGCCGUAAAAC
rnacentral:rRNA from 1 species